AUUUGUUGUUGGCUCUAAACACGUGAUACCAGAAUGAUGCUGACCACAGCCUUCCCAUGCUACUGGCCAUCAUGUCUUGCCUCAAGGAGUCGGCUUUAAUUGUGACACACGGCAUGCUUCCAUCACAUCCCAGAAGAAAAGCCCCACUCACAAACUUCUAGCACCUGGGAUUGCACGUUAGAGAGACAGUGGUGGCAAACAUCAAUGAUCAGUUUGGAAAACAAUACUGCUCAGUCCCCAGAGAGGACAUGUCUCCUGGAAGUCAAUGCAUUUCCUGUCUCAGCGACCCCACACUGCCAUUCUGGUGAAUUUUAGCUCUCUCCUUGCUGGGAACUGUUGCUGGGAAAGGAUCUUCCAGUUCUGUCCUUGAUCCCUCCGAUGACUCCGAUAACUGAAAUAGUCCCACUAACCUGGUUCAGAGGGUGAAGAGCUCCACUCCCAACUGAACCCUAGCCCUACACUGGAAAUGUACAUGGUAUGCAAUUACAGGUUGAAUUAUCAAAUUACAGGUUGAGAUGUCAAAUGUCACUGGGCAGGUGAAUAAAGGAAGUCUGCAUGCAGUGGUAAAACCACAGCCUAACAAGAUGUUAAGGCUGCAAGAAUUCUGAGGGACGUUUUUCUAGUUGCAUCCCAUUUGUCCUUUCAACACCAGCCUCUAAGCUGCUGACCACUCCCCUUGCUGGACACUGAGUGUCCCAAGCUUCCAUGACAAUACCCUCUUCCUGGUUUUCCUCAAUUCUCUUGUUCCUAUCAGUCUUCCUUGCAGGAAUGCUGCGUCCUCUUCUCUUCUCAGCUUUUUCUUUCCCCUAACAAAGCUGCUGGUUCUCAAAGUGGGGUCCCCAGACCUGCAGCAUCCGUAUCACCUGGGAUGACUGUUAAACAUUGUUAAAGUGCAUAUUCCCAGGCCCCUCCCAGACCUACUGAAUGAGAAACUCUGGGGGUAGGACCCAGCAAUCUGUAUUUUCAAAAGCCCUCCAUAAGCUUCUGAUGCACGUUUCAGUGUGAAAUCCAUGCCUUCUAAUACCCAUGCUUUCUAAUACCACCCAGCAUGAAUGGCUCCCAGGCUAAUAUCUCCAGUCUAGAACUCAUCUCUGAACAGCGAGAUAUCUAAAUGUCUACUUAACAUCACCUCUUAAUAGACUUAGAGGCACCUCACAUUCAACAUCCCCAACCAAAAUCUCCUGAUUUUGCUCCCUGAGCCUAACUUCAGUAUCCUGGUCCCAACCUGACAUCAUGUCCCACCUUUCCCUCCUCUAUUUUCUUCCAGUGACACCAGAAGGCCAAACAUUAACAGAACCUUGCUGCCCAUAGGCAGAAGGGAUUUCUGGGCACUGGACAUCUAGACAACAAAAAAAGCAAACACUAAAUACAGUUUCUCUUGGAGGAAAACCUCUCCUAGGAUUUCUGUAGUUCACCGCCCACCCCUCCCCCCGCAAAAAAAUCAGUGAGCACCUACUUUGUGCAGGUGCUGUGUUUGAGUCUGGGGAUACUGAGUCAUUCUGUCUGUCCUCCCUCCAUCUCGUUUCCCUCUUCUGCCAAACAAAUUCUUAUGUCACAAAGAUAUAUGAUCUCAAUGCAUAUAUUAAUACAUCUAUUGAUUUUCCUCUUGCCAGUCAUUAUCAAGAUUUAUUUAUCCUCACAGCUCUCCAUUGAUUGAGGAAAGCAGUAUUCCCAGUGGUCAAUCAAUCCUGAUAUACUCCAUGACAAGGAGUCAAUAUCUAUUUAUUAUUUGAUUUAUGGACCUAAUUAUCUUAAACAUGAUCAGGCAGGGGGCAAGGCCAAAGCUGAGCAGUGAUCAAGCAACUGGAGCCAGGUUGGGAAUACAUCAAACCAAAGUCUGGGGCCCAGCAAGUUUCUGAACAGUGCAGACACACUGAUUUUACCCUUCCCACUCUCACCACCCCAGCAUCUGCCGCUGGGGAAGGAGAGGGAAAGGGACAAGUGGCAGGGUUUCAAUUUGUGCCUGCUGCCAACUCAACAAGUCACAAGCCAGGCAGGUUUGGUGGUUUGGACAAUGAACCUGAUUUGGAGAGAUCACGACACCGUUGGAGAAUCAUCCAGUUAAUUUCCUUGUCUGUGAGCUCCAUGACGGGCAGACAUCAUGCCUUCCUCUCUCUAUUUCCAUCAUCAGGCACUGGACCCUAUACACACUAGAGGCAGAGGACUGUGCAGCUUAGAAGAAGGCAAAUCCAAAAGAAGGACAUGGUUUGGAUCCCCCCAUACGUGGAGAAAAGCCACCUACCAUCCAAAAACUUGCAUCUUGGACUAUUACAUGGACAAGAAAUAAACUUAUAUUGCGUUAAACCACGUCAUGUUUUAAGACUUAUUUGUUACAGCAGCUACCAUUACCCUGACCAAUACAAAGUGUGAAUUUACACAUAUUCUGGGACAAAUGCCUGGAUGGAUAUACACUAAGAUGUUAAUGUCAUUCUCUCUGGCUGGAGGCAUUAUGGGUGAAU
rnacentral:lncRNA from 10 species